rnacentral:rRNA from 1 species
GAUGAACGCUGGCGGCGUGCCUAAUACAUGCAAGUCGAGCGAACGGACGAGAAGCUUGCUUCUCUGAUGUUAGCGGCGGACGGGUGAGUAACACGUGGAUAACCUACCUAUAAGACUGGGAUAACUUCGGGACACCGGAGCUAAUACCGGAUAAUAUUUUGAACCGCAUGGUUCAAAAGUGAAAGACGGUGUUGCUGUCACUUAUCGAUGGAUACGAGCUGCAUUAGCUAGUUGGUAAGGUAACGGCUUACCAAGGCAACGAUGCAUAGACGACCUGAGAGGGUGAUCGGCCACACUGGAACUGGACCACGGUCCAGACUCCUACGGUAGGCAGCAGUAGGGAAUCGUCCGCAAUGGGGGAAAGCCUGACGGAGCAACGCGGCGUGAGUUAUGAAGGUCUUCGGAUCGUAAAACUCUGUUAUUAGGUAAGAACAUAUGUGUAAGUAACUGUGCACAUCUUGACGGUACCUAAUCAGAAAGCCACGGCUAACUACGUG